UGUCCAGCAACUCCUAUCCCUACCUCCUCGUGGUACCGGCCGGAAACUAUGAGCACCCUUAGGGACCCCGGUUGGAACUUUGGUCAUAGGCUGCCAGGGAAGG
rnacentral:ribozyme from 1 species